rnacentral:tRNA from 1 species
GCGGGCGUAGCUCAGUUGGUAGAGCGCUAGCCUUCCAAGCUGGAUGUCGCCGGUUCGAGCCCGGUCGCCCGCU